rnacentral:rRNA from 1 species
GACGAACCGUGCGAACGUUGUUCGGAAUCACUGGGCUUAAAGGGCGCGUAGGCGGGCUCAAAAGUCAGGGGUGAAAUCCCACGGCUCAACCGUGGAAGUGCCUUUGAUACUGUGAGCCUCGAGGGAGGUAGGGGCGUGCGGAACUUCCGGUGGAGCGGUGAAAUGCGUAGAUAUCGGAAGGAACACCGGUGGCGAAGGCG